UCUCUAAUUUACCGACGUCCAUGAAACCGUACACGGCCUGAGAUGGUGCCAAGGACCAAGGCAUCUGGCGCAAUGCAUCAACCUCAACUAUUACUGCUACAAGCCUGCAUCUUGCCAUUUCAACGUAAUGGAGCAAAAUAACCCCGGUCAAAGUGAGCAAGAGUUUGUGCAUUUGCACACUGUGAAGCAGUGGCUGCGAGGGGAAGAGCCAAAUAUGUUGCCACGCAAAAAGAAGAACGUGAAGAGAUUUGCUCUCCUGGUGAAGGGUGAAGAUUGUCAUCGAAUAAUAUAAACUAUAUCUCAUCAAAGUGGCCGAGGGGAGGAGGCGGCAGGUUCUCCUGCAUCAGAACAUAUUGCGCAUCCUUGCCCAGUAUCAUGAUGAUGCAGGCCACUGUGGUCAACAUACCACAGAGGAAAACAUUGCCUCUUAAUUAUUACUGGCCAAGGACAUUAUGUCAAAGACUAUGUGAUUAGACAGUACAUUGCGUGUUCAGUUUCACCAUGUCAGUGAUGCUUAUAGCUGUGAAAAGUCCUAUUGUAAAGAAGAGGAAUAUUGUCUCUGUGAAGUUAACAAGUUGCCUGUAUCAGAUUGCAUCUUGUUUAUUGAGGAACAUUUUAGUCUUAUCACUUGUAUAUUUUUGCAAUAAAGUCAAUGAAUUUCAA